AUUGAACGCUGGCGGCAUGCCUUACACAUGCAAGUCGAACGGUAACGGGCCUUCGGGUCCCGACGAGUGGCGAACGGGUGAGUAAUACACCGGAACGUGCCCGAUCGUGGGGGGUAACGAGGCGAAAGCUUUGCUAAUACCCCAUACGAUCUACGGAUGAAAGCAGGGGACCGCAAGGCCUUGCGCGGACGCAGCGGCCGCUGGCGGAUUAGGUAGUUGGUGGGAUAAAAGCUUACCAAGCCGACGAUCUGUAGCUGGUCUGAGAGGAUGAUCAGCCACACUGGGACUGAGACACGGCCCAGACUCCUACGGGAGGCAGCAGUGGGGAAUUUUGGACAAUGGGCGCAAGCCUGAUCCAGCCAUGCCGCGUGCGGGAUGAAGGCCUUCGGGUUGUAAAGUGCUUUUGUACGGAACGAAAAGCCUUCUUUUAAUACAGGGGGGUCAUGACGGUACCGUAAGAAUAAGCACCGGCUAACUACGUG
rnacentral:rRNA from 1 species